GACGAACGCUGGCGGCGUGCCUAACACAUGCAAGUCGAACGAAGCUCUGCGAUACAAGACUUCGGUCAAGUUGAACGGAUGACUUAGUGGCGGACGGGUGAGUAACGCGUGAGGAACCUGCCUUUCAGUGGGGGACAACAGUUGGAAACGACUGCUAAUACCGCAUAAUGUAUUCUGACCGCAUGAUCGGAAUACCAAAGAUUUAUUGCUGAAAGAUGGCCUCGCGUCUGAUUAGAUAGUUGGUGAGGUAACGGCUCACCAAGUCAACGAUCAGUAGCCGGACUGAGAGGUUGAACGGCCACAUUGGGACUGAGAUACGGCCCAGACUCCUACGGGAGGCAGCAGUGGGGAAUAUUGGGCAAUGGGGGAAACCCUGACCCAGCAACGCCGCGUAAAGGAAGAAGGCUUUCGGGUUGUAAACUGCUUUUAAGGGGAAGAGCAGAAGACGGUACCCCUUGAAUAAGCCACGGCUAACUACGUG
rnacentral:rRNA from 1 species